GUGUAUAUAUUUUUUGUUUUAACAAACUAUAUCUUUUAGAAAAGAAAUCGUUUUUGCUGCAAAAUUGUUGUUUAUUAGAAUAAAUAAACAUGCCUCUAAUUUCAAAGUUGAAGAUACUUCGAAUUCUGGAAGAAUUCGGUUCACCUGCCACGCUAGAAGAAUUAACUGCUUUUGAGCAAUUAAAAUCGAAUAUCAAAAAAAAGACAUUGAAGACAGAAAUGUAUUCAGCUUUAGAGAAAGGAGUAAAUGACAAGUAUAUCAGAAAGUAUCAUCUUCACUAUUUUAACAUCUGUGAUACGGAAGACGCGUUCGAGAAAAUAGCUCAAGAAACACCAUCCACUUCUGGCGGUUUGGAAGACUUCUCAUCUGAUUUUUCAUUAACGUCCGUUACAAAUAGUUCGAACGAUGAAGAGCGUCCCACUUACGUUUCAGCUGAAUUUAAACGUAAACAUGCCGUUUGUAAGGAAUGCGCACAGAAAUUAAAACGUAAGAAGGGGAAGCCUAAAAAGAAAGUCACUACUAUGCGCAAGCGCAAGUAGACCCAUCCUCGAAUAUGUCAAAUGCACAAUAAAUAUAUCUGGUUUUUCUCAAAAUUAAUUUUUGUAAAAUAUGACAAAAUGGCGGCAGGUAACUUUUCCAGAUAUAUUUCAAUGAAAAAAUCAAAAAAAGUUGUGCCGCAGUUGGAGAUUCUUUACCAACCAGAGAUUGUUUAGACAGUAUCCUUGCAAAGUUGCAAGUGUCCUGCAAAUACGAAUAUGAAUUAUUGCAACUAUAAGACUACAGACUACAGUUAAUAUUAUGACCACCACUUGGGAGAGGAGUUCGGAGCCAAAGUUAAGCGUGAAGCUCAGUGAAUACGUGGGCAGUGUGGGAAGUGGACAAAAAUUUGUGGUUGCAUGGUUGUAAUUGGAAAUGCAUUUUUUAUUGACCAUGGACUGCACAAUAAGUCACAUGUGCUUCUGUAGUUCUUGCAAAAAAAGCUCGUAUGCAAUUUCAAAUUGCAUGUCAACAACAAAAAGGACAAUAAAAGCAGCAAACAACAUAAGCAACAAAAAAGGAAACAUCUAAACAACAAAAAUAUAUAAAAUAAAAGCAAAAAUGUUGGUGUAACAAUUUUUAAUGGGGUAAUACGAUUUCUGAUGGUAUGUUCAAUGCUUUAGGUGGAAAGAUAUGCGUAAGACAUCAAAGCAGAGAAGACUCGGACUCGGUUGGCUUUUCAUAUAUUCAGCGUUACAUCAGCUAGAAAUACAGAGUUUUGUGUAUACAGGAUGUUCUGUAAAUAAUAACAAUGAUUUAAUCUAAGCAAAUUGAAUAUGUCGACGUUUUACUUCGAAUUUGUUAUGUAGAUUAGUUGAAAAUGGUUUAUCGCAUAUACCUCUGUUGGAGGAAAGAAUUGCUGAAUUAUCUAUUUAAAGAUAGGAUAUAUAUAUGAGACCAAGUUAUCAAGAGAAGGGACUACGUUUUCGAAGUUAAAUACUAGUUGUGGGUGAAUUGAGGAAAAAAAUUUUAAAAUAAAAAUUUGGGUGGUGGAAAAUUAUUAAGUGAUUACUUAAAUCAUAUGUGGAGGAUACGUACUUUGCAGGACAUUAAUAAUUGGUUAUGGAUGAAAGAUAUUGCGGUAUUAAGUGGAUGUGAAGCAGAUCCAUUAGAUGUGAUAGUACAUUAAAAACCAUAUAAAUAUAACCUGUGGUCAAGAAAUAGUUAAGAAUGCCACGUUUCAGUAAUAGUAGUUUUGCAAAUACUGAAAGCGAUUGCGACUCCAGUUAUGUUUAGGGCGCUAUGAAGCUUCCAAUAGGAUUGUGAGAACCUCUAAGUGAUUUCCUUUACUUAGCAGAACAGAGUAUCACAUAAAUGUAUACAAAAUUACGAUUACAAGUUAACGAUUACAAUCCAUUGGGUACCAAAACACAGCUAGACGAAAUCAAUCUUUAGCGUGCAGGUGUGUUGAAGCUAUCAUCUAAAUCUAUUGCAACUGAUGAAGGAUGUAGUGAUUAUAUUACUUUGAAGUGCAAAAGCGUAACAUACGUUUCAGAUGAUGUUCUUGUUUCAGAUGAUGGCUCAAUUCAUUUGUUCUUUGCAAGAAAAAAAAGAGAAGACUCACUGGGAUUAAAAUAAUAAACGUAUAAAGGUAUAAAGGAUAUAAAAAAUAAAUCUGAGUGUUUUUUUUAAGACUCGUUUUCAGACAGUUUGAUUGAACUGUCAGCA